rnacentral:rRNA from 1 species
CCCUUAGAUGUUCUGGGCCGCACGCGUGCUACACUGAGUGGAUCAGCGGGUCAGGUUGCGCGAAAGUGUUUCCUAAUCUUUAAAUCCGCUCGUGAUGGGGAUUGACGGUUGCAAUUUUCCGUCAUGAACGAGGAAUACCUUGUAAGCGCGGGUCAUCAUCCCGCGCUGAAUACGUCCCUGCCCUUUGUACACACCGCCCGUCGCUCCUACCGAUUGAGUGGUCCGGAGGCUUUGGGAUCUGAGCGGAAAGAGCGUUUCGCUGUUUCUGCCCGGAAAACUCAGUCGAACCUUAUCAUUUAGAGGAAGGAGAAGUCGUAACA